CUACGGGAGGCUCCAGUGGGGAAUAUUGCACAAUGGGCGCAAGCCUGAUGCAGCCAUGCCGCGUGUAUGAAGAAGGCCUUCGGGUUGUAAAGUACUUUCAGCGAGGAGGAAGGGAGUAAAGUUAAUACCUUUGCUCAUUGACGUUACCCGCAGAAGAAGCACCGGCUAACUCCGUGCCAGCAGCCGCGGUAAUACGGAGGGUGCAAGCGUUAAUCGGAAUUACUGGGCGUAAAGCGCACGCAGGCGGUUUGUUAAGUCAGAUGUGAAAUCCCCGGGCUCAACCUGGGAACUGCAUCUGAACUGGCAAGCUUGAGUCUCGUAGAGGGGGGUAGAAUUCCAGGUGUAGCGGUGAAAUGCGUAGAGAUCUGGAGGAAUACCGGUGGCGAAGGCGGCCCCCUGGACGAAGACUGACGCUCAGGUGCGAAAGCGUGGGGAGCAAACAGGAUUAGAUACCCUAGUAGUC
rnacentral:rRNA from 1 species